AGUGAACGCUGGCGGCGUGCUUAACACAUGCAAGUCGAACGAGAACGGAUUAUAGCUUGCUAUAGUUGUCAGCUAAGUGGCGCACGGGUGAGUAAUGUAUAGGUAAUAUGCCUCUUACUAAGGGAUAACAAAUGGAAACGUUUGCUAAUACCUUAUACUCCUUAUUAACAGAAGUUAAUAAGGGAAAGAUUUAUUGGUAAGAGAUUAGCCUGUAUUGUAUCAGUUAGUUGGUGGGGUAAUGGCUUACCAAGACUAUGACACAUAACUGGUUUGAGAGGAUGAUCAGUCACACUGGAACUGAGACACGGUCCAGACUCCUACGGGAGGCAGCAGUGGGGAAUAUUGCACAAUGGACGAAAGUCUGAUGCAGCAACGCCGCGUGGAGGAUGACACAUUUCGGUGCGUAAACUCCUUUUAUAUGAGAAGAUAAUGACGGUAUUAUAUGAAUAAGCACCGGCUAACUCCGUGCCAGCAGCCACAGUAA
rnacentral:rRNA from 1 species